rnacentral:misc_RNA from 1 species
GAUGAAGAACGUAGCGAAAUGCGAUAAGUAAUGUGAAUUGCAGAAUUCAGUGAAUCAUCGAAUCUUUGAACGCACAUUGCGCCCGCCAGUAUUCUGGCGGGCAUGCCUGUCUGAGCGUCAUUUCAACCCUCAUGCCCCUAGGGCGUGGUGUUGGGGAUCGGCCAAAGCCCGCGAGGGACGGCCGGCCCCUAAAUCUAGUGGCGGACCCGUCGUGGCCUCCUCUGCGAAGUAGUGAUAUUCCGCAUCGGAGAGCGAUGAGCCGCUGCCGUUAAACCCCCAACUUUCCAAGGUUGACCUCAGAUCAGGUAGGAAUACCCGCUGAACUUAAGCAUAUCAAUAAGCGGAGGA